UGGGGAAUCUUGCGCAAUGCGCGAAAGCGUGACGCAGCAACGCCGCGUGGGGGAAGAAGGCCUUCGGGUUGUAAACCCCUUUCAGGAGGGACGAAGGCACGGCGGUGAACAGCCGUCCGUGCUGACGGUACCUCCAGAAGAAGCCCCGGCUAACUACGUGCCAGCAGCCGCGGUAAUACGUAGGGGGCAAGCGUUGUCCGGAAUCAUUGGGCGUAAAGCGCGCGUAGGCGGCCCGGUAAGUCCGCUGUAAAAGUCCAGGGCUCAACCCUGGAAAGCCGGUGGAAACUGUCGGGCUAGAGUCCGGAAGAGGCGAGUGGAAUUCCUGGUGUAGCGGUGGAAUGCGCAGAUAUCAGGAGGAACACCGAUGGCGAAGGCAGCUCGCUGGGACGGUACUGACGCUGAGGCGCGAAAGCGUGGGGAGCGAACAG
rnacentral:rRNA from 1 species